GGUGAACGCUGGCGGCGUGCCUAACACAUGCAAGUCGAGCGGUGCAGUUUGAAGCUUCGGUGGAAAGCUGCAUAGCGGCGGACGGGUGAGGAAAACGUAGGAACGUGCCCCUUGGAGUUGGAUAGCCACGGGGAAAACUGUGGGGUAAAACCGACAUAGACUCGAGAGAGUAAAGGCCGAAAGGCGCCAAGGGAGCGGCCUGCGGCCCAUCAGGUAGUUGGUAGUGUAAAAGGACUACCAAGCCGACGACGGGUAGCCGGUCUGAGAGGAUGGCCGGCCACAAGGGCACUGAGAGACGGGCCCUACUCCUACGGGAGGCAGCAGUGGGGGAUUUUGGACAAUGGGCGAAAGCCUGAUCCAGCGACGCCGCGUGGAGGACGAAGCCCUUCGGGGUGUAAACUCCUUUUCUCAGGGAAAAAGGAUGAUGGUACCUGAGGAAUAAGCCCCGGCUAACUACGUG
rnacentral:rRNA from 1 species